rnacentral:rRNA from 1 species
AUUGAACGCUGGCGGCAGGCCCAACACAUGCAAGUCGAGCGGAUGAAGGGAGCUUGCUCCUGGAUUCAGCGGCGGACGGGUGAGUAAUGCCUAGGAAUCUGCCUGGUAGUGGGGGAUAACGUCCGGAAACGGGCGCUAAUACCGCAUACGUCCUGAGGGAGAAAGUGGGGGAUCUUCGGACCUCACGCUAUCAGAUGAGCCUAGGUCGGAUUAGCUAGUUGGUGGGGUAAAGGCCUACCAAGGCGACGAUCCGUAACUGGUCUGAGAGGAUGAUCAGUCACACUGGAACUGAGACACGGUCCAGACUCCUACGGGAGGCAGCAGUGGGGAAUAUUGGACAAUGGGCGAAAGCCUGAUCCAGCCAUGCCGCGUGUGUGAAGAAGGUCUUCGGAUUGUAAAGCACUUUAAGUUGGGAGGAAGGGCAGUAAGUUAAUACCUUGCUGUUUUGACGUUACCAACAGAGUAAGCACCGGCUAACUUCGUG